CCUAAAAUCUGCAAGUUGUUUUUACAAUCUUGUCGAAUUGUAGCUUAUGGAAUCAGUUAUCGGCCUUGCGGCCCAGUAAAAGUUCUUUUGAAUAAGACAUCAAAGAGGGUGAAAAUCCCGUAUUUGACUGGGUUUAUGGGAUUUGUGAACUGUUUUCUUUGAGUCGGGUUGUUUGGAAAUGCAGCCCUAAUUAGGAGGUAAAUUUCUUCUAAAGCUAAAUAUAAGCAAGAGACCGAUAGCAUACAAGUACCGUGAGGGAAAGAUGAAAAGCACUUUGAAAAGAGAGUGAAAAGUACGUGAAAUUGUUGAAAGGGAACCGGUUGGUAGCAAAGCAUCCGCAGUUGGGAGGGUAGCUUUUCGGAGUUGCACUUUUGGCGAGUGGGGGGUCAACAUCGGUUGGUAUUGCCUGAAAGGAGAAUUUACGUGUUAGCGAAGGUAAGGUAGAGUAGUUGGUGGCCAAUACGAAUUUCGGUUUGUGUUGGAAUCACGCUGAUUGCUUGUUAUAGACUUUCAUUUGCACGUUAUGAAGCCUUUGGGGUGGUAGCGACCGAGGUAAAUUCAGCAGUGUGGGUUAGCAGUUUUCGGAUUGUUGGCACUGGUUGAAUUUUUGUGGGUAUUGUUAUGGCAGAUUCCGGGACAGCUUGCUGACUUGUGGGUUUUGUUGUGAUAUAUUCAUGGAUAUUCAAACUAAGAAGCACUUUGGAUGUUGGCGAAAAAGCACCAAUCGACCCGUCUUGAAACACGGACCAAGGAGUCCAACAUACAUGCGAGUAUUUGGGCGUAAUAAACCCAUGUGCGUAAUGAAAGUAAAAUUUUAUUAGAAUGCGACCUUUUUCUUUAUUGAGAUUGGGCAGCAUCGACCGACCUUUGAUAGCGUUGCUUGACAUGGUUGAGUAAGAGCAUGUAUGCUGGGACCCGAAAGAUGGUGAACUAUGCCUGAAUAGGGUGAAGUCAGAGGAAACUCUGAUGGAAGCUCGUAGAGAUUCUGACGUGCAAAUCGAUCUCCAAAUUUGGGUAUAGGGGCGAAAGACCAAUCGAACCAUCUAGUAGCUGGUUCCUGCCGAAGUUUCCCUCAGGAUAGCAGAGACUGAAUAAAGCAGUUUUAUGAGGUAAAGCGAAUGAUUAGAGGCCUUGGGGAUGUAACAUCCUUAACCUAUUCUCAAACUUUAAAUGCGUAAGAAGUUCUAGUUUCUUGAUUGAACUGGGACCUAUUAUCAUAUGAAUGCCUCAGUCUCUAGUGGGCCAUUUUUGGUAAGCAGAACUGGCGAUGCGGGAUGAACCGAACGUAAAGUUAAGGUGCCCAAAUGUACGCUCAUAUAGACACCAUAAAAGGUGUUAGUUCAUCUAGACAGCAGGGCGGUGGCCAUGGAAGUCGGAAUCCGCUAAGGAGUGUGUAACAACUCACCUGCCGAAUGAACUAGCCCUGAAAAUGGAUGGCGCUUAAGCGUGCUACCGAUACUUUACCGCUAAAAUUAUUAAUUUAUUUUAGUGAGUAGGCAGGCGUGGGGGUUGUAGCGAAGCUGUGGGAGUGAUCUCCAGUGGAACGGCC
rnacentral:rRNA from 2 species